rfam:Triticum aestivum genome assembly, contig: Triticum_aestivum_CS42_TGACv1_scaffold_640815_T_7DS-0.203692_1BL-0.136177
AAACUACUCCCUCCGUCCGAAAAAACUUGUCUUUCAAAUAGAUGUAUUUAGCACCAAGUUAGUGCUAGAUACAUCCAUUUAAGGGACAAGCAUUUUCGGAUGAAGGGAGUAUCAA